GAUGAAGAACGUAGCGAAACGCGAUAGUUAAUGUGAAUUGCAGAAUUCAGUGAAUCAUCGAGUCUUUGAACGCACAUUGCGCCUUUUGGUAUUCCGAAAGGCACGUCUGUUCGAGCGUCAGUAAAAACCCUUCCGGACCGGUGGUGUUUUUUCGUAAAAAGGAAAAACCUGCCUGGCCUCGGGACCCUGGCGUGGGGAAGUGGAACCCUGGUCUCCGGCCUGGUGUUUUUUCCCCCGCUUAAACGCGGAGAAAGCUAGCGGGCAUUCGGCCUCACAUAUUGCGACAACUCGUAAAAACUUUUUCUUAUAAGUUGUAACCGCUCACAGUGGAACCUGCCCCGCCUCUUGCAAAAUUUUUUUACUUUGAACCAUUGACCUCGGAUCAGAUGAGGAUACCCGCUGAACUUAAGCAUAUCAAUAAGCGGAGGA
rnacentral:misc_RNA from 1 species